UCACUGUUAUCGGAUUGAUACUAAGCCAUGCGAGUCAUUGUAGCAAUACAAGGCAGACGGCUCAGUAACGCGUAGUCAAUCUACCCUAUGGACGGGAAUAACCUCGGGAAACUGAGAAUAAUGCCCGAUAGAACAUUAUGCCUGGAAUGGUUUAUGUUUCAAAUGAUUUAUCGCCAUAGGGUGGGACUGCGGCCUAUCAGUUUGUUGGUGAGGUAAUGGCCCACCAAGACUAUUACAGGUACGGGCUCUGAGAGGAGUGGCCCGGAGAUGGGUACUGAGACACGGACCCAGGCCCUAUGGGGCGCAGCAGGCGAGAAAACUUUGCAAUGUGCGAAAGCACGGCAAGGUUAAUCCGAGUGGUUUCUGCUGAAGAAACCUUUUGUCAGUCCUAGAAACACUAACGAAUAAGGGGUGGGCAAGUUCUGGUGUCAGCCGCCGCGGUAAAACCAGCACCUCAAGUGGUCAGGAUGAUUAUUGGGCCUAAAGCAUCCGUAGCUCGUUUUGUAAGUUUUCGGUUAAAUCCAUACGCUUAACGUAUGGGCUGCCGGGAAUACUGCAUAACUAGGAAGUGGGAGAGGUAGACGGUACUCGGUAGGAAGGGGUAAAAUCCUUUGAUCUAUUGAUGACCACCUGUGGCGAAGGCGGUCUACCAGAACACGUUCGACGGUGAGGGAUGAAAGCUGGGGGAGCAAACCGGAUUAAAUACCCGGGUUAGUCCAGCUGUAACUAUGCAACUCAGUGAUGCAUUGGCUUGUGGCCAAUGC
rnacentral:rRNA from 1 species